rnacentral:rRNA from 1 species
AGUGAACGCUGGCGGUAGGCCUAACACAUGCAAGUCGAACGGCAGCACAGUAAGAGCUUGCUCUUACGGGUGGCGAGUGGCGGACGGGUGAGGAAUACAUCGGAAUCUACUUUUUCGUGGGGGAUAACGUAGGGAAACUUACGCUAAUACCGCAUACGACCUACGGGUGAAAGCAGGGGAUCUUCGGACCUUGCGCGAUUGAAUGAGCCGAUGUCGGAUUAGCUAGUUGGCGGGGUAAAGGCCCACCAAGGCGACGAUCCGUAGCUGGUCUGAGAGGAUGAUCAGCCACACUGGAACUUAGACACGGGCCAGACUCCUACGGGAGGCAGCAGUGGGGAAUAUUGGACAAUGGGCGCAAGCCUGAUCCAGCCAUACCGCGUGGGUGAAGAAGGCCUUCGGGUUGUAAAGCCCUUUUGUUGGGAAAGAAAAGCAGCAGGUUAAUACCCCGCUGUUCUGACGGUACCCAAAGAAUAAGCACCGGCUAACUUCGUG